rnacentral:rRNA from 1 species
UACAGAGGGUGCAAGCGUUGUCCGGAAUCACUGGGCGUAAAGGGCGCGUAGGCGGCCUGAUAAGUCGGGGGUGAAAUUCUGCGGCUUAACCGCAGGACGGCCUUCGAGACUGUCGGGCUUGAGCACGGUAGAGGCUGGUGGAAUUCCCGGUGUAGCGGUGGAAUGCGUAGAGAUCGGGAAGAACAUCGGUGGCGAAGGCGGCCAGCUGGGCCGACACUGACGCUGAGGCGCGAAAGCCAGGGGAGCGAACGGG